AACGAACGCUGGCGGCAGGCUUAACACAUGCAAGUCGAACGGGCACCUUCGGGUGUCAGUGGCAGACGGGUGAGUAACGCGUGGGAACGUACCCUUCGGUUCGGAAUAACCCAGGGAAACUUGGGCUAAUACCGGAUACGUCCGUAAGGAGAAAGAUUUAUUGCCGAAGGAUCGGCCCGCGUCGGAUUAGCUAGUUGGUGGGGUAAUGGCCCACCAAGGCGACGAUCCGUAGCUGGUCUGAGAGGAUGANCAGCCACACUGGGACUGAGACACGGCCCAGACUCCUACGGGAGGCAGCAGUGGGGAAUAUUGGACAAUGGGCGAAAGCCUGAUCCAGCCAUGCCGCGUGAGUGAAGAAGGCCUUAGGGUUGUAAAGCUCUUUCAGCGGGAAGAUAAUGACGGUACCCGCAGAAGAAGUCCCGGCUAACUUCGUGCCAG
rnacentral:rRNA from 1 species